UACGUAGGGGGCGAGCGUUGUCCGGAUUUAUUGGGCGUAAAGAGCUCGUAGGCGGCUUGGCAAGUCGGGUGUGAAAACUUCAGGCUCAACCUGGAGAUGGCACUCGAUACUGCCAUGGCUAGAGUCCGGUAGGGGACCACGGAAUUCCUGGUGUAGCGGUGAAAUGCGCAGAUAUCAGGAGGAACACCGGUGGCGAAGGCGGUGGUCUGGGCCGGCACUGACGCUGAGGAGCGAAAGCGUGGGGAGCGAACAGG
rnacentral:rRNA from 1 species